GAGACAGAGUCUUGUUUUGUUGCCCAGGCUGGAGUGCAGUGGUGUGAUCUCGGCUCACUGCAACCUCCACCUCCCAGGUUCAAGUGAUUCUCCUGCCUCAGCCUCCUGAGUAGCUGGGAUUACAGGCAUAUACCACCACACCCAGAUUAUUUUUAAUUUUUGUAGAGAUGGGGUUUCAUUAUGUUGUGCAGGCUGGUUUCAAACUCCUGGGCUCAAGCAAUCCUCCCAUCUUGGCCUCCCAAAGUGCUGAGAUUACAGGCAUGAGCCACUGUGCCCGGCCAGAGUCUCUUUCUAAUAUGCCAGAAUGUGGCAUUCAAGUGGUUAUGAAAAGAUGUUUUUCUGGAUUAAAGUUGUUAGUAGAAAAUACCUACAGUCCAGAAGAAAUAAAAGAGGCUAACCUUAAACAUAUUUCUAUUACAGAUACAGUUUUAUGGGCUUACAGGAAAACUCUCUCCUCAGCACUUAAAUGGAUACAUCCAUUUCCAUAGAGGUCUUAUAGAAAUUACGAAUUAUAAGCAUGUAACAAAGUUUACAAUUUGACUUUCAAAAACCAAAUGUUCUUAACCUAAAGUUUAUGAAUGAAUUUGACAGCAGUUCAUGAACCCUGUGAAAACUAUGCAAUACUUUUUUUUUUUGAGAUGGAGUUUUGCUCUUGUUGCCCAGGCUGGAGUACAAUGGUGCGAUCUCGGCUCACCACAACCUCGACCUCCCAGGUUCAAGUGAUUCUCCUGCCUCAGCCUUCCCAAGUAGCUGGGAUUACAGGCAUGUGCCACCAUGCCCAGCUAAUUUUGUAUUUUUAGUAGAGAUGGCGUUUCUCCAUGUUGGUCAGGCUGGUCUCGAAC
rnacentral:lncRNA from 1 species